UACGUAGGUGGCGAGCGUUGUCCGGAAUUACUGGGUGUAAAGCGCGUGUAGGCGGGAGGCCAAGUCUGUGGUGAAAUCGCUCGGCUUAACUGGGCGGGGUCCAUGGAAACUGGUCACCUGGAGGUCGGUAGAGGCAAGUGGAAUUCCCGGUGUAGUGGUGAAAUGCGUAGAGAUCGGGAGGAACACCAGUGGCGAAGGCGGCUUGCUGGGCCGGACCUGACGCUGAGACGCGACAGCGUGGGGAGCAAACAGG
rnacentral:rRNA from 1 species